rnacentral:miRNA from 1 species
GUGACCCCUGGGGAAGCAGGUGUGUGUGUGUGUGUGUGUGUGUGUGUGUGUGUGUGUACACGCGCGUGCGCAAACCC